rnacentral:rRNA from 1 species
UACCAGCACCCCGAGUGGUCGGGACGAUUAUUGGGCCUAAAGCAUCCGUAGCCGGUUCUACAAGUCUUCCGUUAAAGUCCACCUGCUUAACAGAUGGGCUGCGGAGGAUACUAUGGAGCUAGGAGGCGGGAGAGGCAAGCGGUACUUAGUGGGUAGGGGUAAAAUCCGUUGAUCCAUUGAAGACCACCAGUGGCGAAGGCGGCUUGCCAG